rnacentral:rRNA from 1 species
AUACAUNGCAACAGGAGGCAAACCGGGGGAACUGAAACAUCUAAGUACCCCGAGGAAGAGAAAUCAACCGAGAUUCCGAAAGUAGCGGCGAGCGAAAUUGGAUUAGCCCUUAAGCUUUUAAUGANACAGAUGAAGGNUCUGGAAAGUGCCGCAAUAAAGGGUGAUAGCCCCGUAAUCGACAUCUCAUAAUCAGUGAAAACGAGUAGGGCGGGACACGUGAUAUCCUGUCUGAAUAUGGGGGGACCAUCCUCCAAGGCUAAAUACUACUGACUGACCGAUAGUGAACCAGUACCGUGAGGGAAAGGCGAAAAGAACCCCUGUGAGGGGAGUGAAAUAGAACCUGAAACCGUGUACGUACAAGCAGUAGGAGCACCUUCGUGGUGUGACUGCGUACCUUUUGUAUAAUGGGUCAGC